AGUGAACGCUGGCGGCAGGCCUAACACAUGCAAGUCGAGCGGCAGCGGGUUCCCGCGAGGGGAUGCCGGCGAGCGGCGGACGGGUGAGGAACACAUCGGAAUCUGCCUGGUUGUGGGGGAUAACGUAGGGAAACUUACGCUAAUACCGCAUGCGACCCUGAGUCGACGGACUGGGGGUGAAAGUGGGGGACCUUCGGGCCUCACGCGACCAGAUGAGCCGAUGUCGGAUUAGCAGUUGGCGGGGUAACGGCCCGCCAAGGCGACGAUCCGUAGCUGGUCUGAGAGGAUGAUCAGCCACACUGGGACUGAGACACGGCCCAGACUCCUACGGGAGGCAGCAGUGGGAAUCUGGACAAUGGCNCAAGCCUGAUCCAGCCAUGCCG
rnacentral:rRNA from 1 species